rnacentral:rRNA from 1 species
CAUUUCGGUUCGACACCCUGGUCACAUGCUUGUCUCAAAGAUUAAGUCAUGCAUGUCUAAGUACAUGCCGAAACGAGGCGAAACCGCGAAUGGCUUAUUGAAUAAGUCAUGGUUACUUAGGUGGUUUUUUCCUACUUGUAUUCUAGAGCUGAUACACGCAGUGAGGCCGAAGCCCAACGCUGCGACGGGUGCUUUAUUAGACAAAUAUCAAUCGGUCAUCGGUCCAUUUUUGUGUGAUGACUCUGGAUAACUUUGUGCUGAUCGCCCGGCCACGACCCGGCGACGUUUCUUUCAAGUGUCCGCCUUAUCAACUGUGGAUGGUAAUUAAUGCGCCUACUAUGGUUGUUACGAGUAACGGAGAAUCAGGUUUCGAUUCCGGUGAGAGAGCCCGAGAAACGGCUGCCACAUCUGAGGACGGUAGCAGGCGCGCAAUUUACCCACUCCCGGCACGGGGAGGUAGUGACGAAAAAUAACAAUACGGGACUCUUUUGAGGCCCAUUAAUUGAAAUGAGUACACUCUGAACCCUUUAACAAGGAUCCAUGGAAGGGCAAGUCUGGUGCCACCAGCCGUGGUAAUUCCAGCUCCAAUAGCGUAUACUAAAGUUUCUACGGUUAAAAAGCUCGUAGUUGGAUCUCAGUUGCAAGCAGGAAGUGCGUGGACACCACGUUACGGCCCGUGCUGAACAUCAUGCAUGUCGUGGCUUGGUUCCCUUCAUCAGGUGCCUCUCUUUGACCGGUGCAUUCACUUUGAAAAAAAAUAAGAGUGCUCAAUGCAGGCAAUUCACCUGAAUAACAGUGCAGGGAAUUACAGAACAAGAUCUUGCUACUGUUUUGUUGGUUUUUGGAAUUCAGGAUAAGGAUUAAGAAGGACAGACGGGGGCGUUAGUAUUGCGGCGCUAAGGGUGAAAUUCUUGGACCGUCGCAAGACGAACUACUGCCAAAACAUUUGCCAAGAAUGUUUUCAUUGAUCACGAACAAACAUUUUAUGUUCGAAGGCGACCAGAUACCGCCCUAUAGUGCUAACCAUAAACUAUGCCACCCAGUGAUCCGCCUGAUUUACUCAAAUGACUCGGCGGGCAGCUUCCGGGAAAUCAAAGUAUUUGGUUUCCGGAAGAAGUAUAAAUGCAAAGCUGAAACUUAAAGAAAUUAACGGAAGGGCACCACCAAGGGCAUCACCACCACCACUUAAUUUGACUCAACACAGGAAAGCAUACGCCACCCAGACACUGGGAAGAUUGACAGACCGAAAGCUCUUUCUUAAUUCGGUGGAUGGUGGUGCAUAUCCGUUCCUAGUUGGUGGAGCGAUUUGUCUGGCUAAUUCCGAUAACGAACGAGACGUUAGCCUAUUAAAUUGGUGCGUGGUUCUCUGCACCUUGCAACUUUCGUAGAGGGACAAGCGGCUCCUAGCCGCACGAAACAGAGCAUUAACAGAUCUGUGAUGCCGUUAGAUGUCCGGGGCCGAACGCGCUCUACACUGAAGGAAGCAGCGUGUUUUAUGCCUGUCUGUAAAGACUGGGCAACCUGUGGAUCCUCCUUCGUGAUCGGGAUAGGGGCUUGCAAUUGUUCCCCUUGAACGAGGAAUUUCUAUUAAGCGCGAGUCGUAGGAUUGAUUACAUUUUGCCCUUUGUACACACAGCCUGUCGCUACUACCGAUUGAAUGAUUUAGUGAGGUCUUCGGACCGAUACACGGAGAGGCCUUUCGGUUGCGCCGGUGUGUUGGAAAGAUGACGAAACUUGAUCAUUUAGAGGAAGAAAAAGUCGUAACAAGGUUUUCACAGGUGAACCUGCGGAAG